rnacentral:rRNA from 1 species
GACGAACGCUGGCGGCGUGCUUAACACAUGCAAGUCGAGCGGUAAGGCCCUUUCGGGGGUACACGAGCGGCGAACGGGUGAGUAACACGUGGGUGACCUGCCCUCAGCCCUGGGAUAAGCCUGGGAAACCGGGUCUAAUACUGGAUAUGACUCCAUGGCGCAUGUUGUGGGGUGGAAAGCCUUGUGCGGCUGAGGAUGGGCCCGCGGCCUAUCAGCUUGUUGGUGGGGUGAUGGCCUACCAAGGCGACGACGGGUAGCCGGCCUGAGAGGGCGACCGGCCACACUGGGACUGAGACACGGCCCAGACUCCUACGGGAGGCAGCAGUGGGGAAUCUUGCGCAAUGGGCGAAAGCCUGACGCAGCGACGCCGCGUGAGGGAUGACGGCCU